rnacentral:rRNA from 1 species
AUGAACGCUGGCGGCGUGCCUAAUACAUGCAAGUCGAGCGAACGGACGAGAAGCUUGCUUUUCUGAUGUUAGCGGCGGACGGGUGAGUAACACGUGGAUAACCUACCUAUAAGACUGGGAUAACUUCGGGAAACCGGAGCUAAUACCGGAUAAUAUUUUGAACCGCAUGGUUCAAAAGUGAAAGACGGUCUUGCUGUCACUUAUAGAUGGAUCCGCGCUGCAUUAGCUAGUUGGUAAGGUAACGGCUUACCAAGGCAACGAUGCAUAGCAGACCUGAGAGGGUGAUCGGCCACACUGGAACUGAGACACGGUCCAGACUCCUACGGGAGGCAGCAGUAGGGAAUCUUCCGCAAUGGGCGAAAGCCUGACGGAGCAACGCCGCGUGAGUGAUGAAGGUCUUCGGAUCGUAAAACUCUGUUAUUAGGGAAGAACAUAUGUGUAAGUAACUGUGCACAUCUUGACGGUACCUAAUCAGAAAGCCACGGCUAACUACGU